rnacentral:lncRNA from 1 species
UCCCGGGGUUACUUGCGCCCUCUAUAAAUGAAAGACGGUACCGCCAGUUCUGGGAAUCGCACAGGGGUGCGUACAAAUGGACCAGGACGCGGAGAGCACGGAAACAACGGUGCUGGGACCUUGUGCACAGAAUCCAGAUGCCAGAUGGGAAUUAAACAUUCGGCCGAGAAAAGCAAUCUAGUUCCCUGGGCUCGACUUUGACUCACUCCUUGGUCUGCACCAAUCCUCACAUCCCUCAGGUCCUCUAACUUUUACGACAGUAUCCAGAAAUCGAUUCUUUGGUCUCUACGGCUCCAGAAGGCUCGCUCAUCAACACUGUUUCGAGGAGUUUCAAAAUUAAUUUUUCCAAAGAAAAUAUCGAGAAACUGAAACGUUCCAUUACCUUCGAUUAGAAGUGGAUACAUAUAUGAUUUUGGCCUAAAAAAAAAUUUGCAAAAAGGGAGAAUGCAAACUUGUCCUUUUCCUUUUGGAUUUACGGAGUGCCAGUAUCAGGUGUGGUUCCAGGUUCCCGUUCCAGGUUCCAGAUAAGGCUGUGGUGAGGUCUCGAGCAGACAAGCACAAGUCCAAUUGCCUCUUCUUUUGAAGCAGAGUCUAUUGAGGAGGAAUCUCUGAAAAUGACAGCUGAUGGGUGUAGAGACCCACGCCCGGAAUCUCAGCAACUGAAGUGGUUGAAGCAGGAGCAUCUGGGCAGAGCUUGUAAGCAUCUCUAGCUUCUGACUUUGUUGCUGGUGUUAUGGUUUUUGGUUUUCUUUCUCAGAGGCUUUCUGGUGCACCUAGACUGUGCCAGCUCCUUAUAGCCCUCCUUCAGCUCUCCAGCCUUUUGCCUAUGCAGUCUCUGCUCCUAGCCUUUCAUAACUAAUAAACUUUAAAAUUUAUAAACUCCAACAAAUGAAGGAACCAGGAAGCUGAGCGGCACCAUAGGUGUUGCUAACCAAGCAUAGCAGCAUAAUAAAAAUGGAGUGAUUAAAUGU